GGGGGACAUGCUUCAAACUCCACACACAUCGAACCACAGUGGAGCCUCGAACCCUGGUCCAAAAGGUGUGAGGCAACAGUGCGCCACCAUGCCACCCAGUAUAUAAAACUAUACCUUCACAGUGGCCUGAGAGGGCAAGGUGACAUUUUGACAGGGGGAGCAAAAUUUCUAGUUACACCCCUGGACAUGGUACACAACCCUGGGAAAUUAAUGCAUGCAUUAUGGGUAAUAUAUGAACAGUAGUUCACUUAAUGUCUUUGGAUUGUGGUUGGAAACAAUACAAACAAGGAGGGGAAAAGCAAACUCUAAAGACAAGGCUAUGGAUAGACGUCGAAGGCGCCACCAUAGAGGUGUGAGGCCAAUGAGGUGCCCAGCCAGCUUCCUCUCCAGCCAGAAAUGCGAUGAGCCAGGAUGGACACAAUAUUCAUUGAGGUUAAUGUACAUAUACCAGAAGAGGACCUGGACAAGUCUCUGUAGGCUGGAGUAGUGGGGGUAUAGAAAGGUUAGUGGGCGUGCCCAAAGGUUUGUGGGCGUGUCCAAAUGUUUGUGGGUGUGUCCAAAGGUUUGUGGGUGUGGUGAUAGGUGGACAUGUUGACAGGAUUAGAGUGUGGUGAAGCAGGUGGAACCAGGCAUGUCAUUUUCUUUGCGCUUCCUGCAAGUAUGGCAGUAAAUGUUAAGCGCUAGAAAAUGAACAAAUAUGAAUCAGGCAUUAAAUUAUAGAUGUGUGUUGCCUGACCUAUAUGUGUUGAUGGAAUGUCUGGUCUCUUUCUGAAAUAACAUUUAUUGACAACAGCAUUUUUGGUCAAUAGAAGUAAACCUCUGGACACGCCCACCUUUUGAUGCACCAGUGCUCGCUCCUCGUAGAGACCCGUGUCUCGAGCUGGAUGGAGUCACACGCUGCCUUUCUGCUGCUCUCACCUCAUCUCACACGUCAGGAUGUUAAUUUAUCAAUGUCAGCCGCCUUGGGCUCUCGCAGCCUGCAGUUGAGACACCGUCGUGGGGCAGAUGGAGCACUAGAGGACGAUGGGGGAAGUGACCCUGGAUAUGGAGCCUGGCUGCUGCCGGCUGCUAGCAGGAGUCUCCCUGCUCGGGACCCCGUGAUUAGACUUGGAUUAUUUUCCAUCUCCCCCCUCCGGUGAUCGUGCCCCUUUGCUACUUCUCUGAUUUUUCAGAGGAGCGUAAAACAGCUACAUAUUCAGGCUGCGCUGUUUAUGGAAUUAAAUAAAGCUACGUAGUCAAAGGCAACACGCACAACAGAACAACAUAACAGGCUCUAUUAGCGCAAGCAUCACACAUAGUAAUGCUGUUAAUGUAGAAUAGUGAUAUUGAAUUUUUUUGCCUAUCCCAUUUUGGUCUCGAUGAGACACACAUGCAGUUGAGAGCGAGCUUGGGGGUCACAGGACAGGGUCUGCCAGCAUGGAGCUGGGGGUUAAAGGCCUUGCUCAGGGCUCAUGGACGUGUACCCAUUCUGCCAUGGCUCCCUCCGGUGACAUUCCGGUCAUUGGCACAGUGGCGUAGCGGAGCGCUGUAUAGGAUACUGUGUGAGUCACACGCCAUUUCCAGAGUAAGGGGUAAAGUUCAUAUGAAUACUUAUAGCAGGCAGACGUGGAAGGUUCCGAAAAUCCAGACCAAGAUUUUGUUUCAACCAACCAAUUGAGUAUAAGGAGUGACAGUUGCAGAGUACAGAACUUGUUGGUUAAAUGAGAAUCUUGGUGUGGAUUUGUACUUUCUGAACCUGAAUUUUCUACAGGAGUUUGGUAGUGUGCAGAAGUUUGCAGUGUUCAGUGCCUGCAGUGCUAGUAUGAGAUACUGAGUGUGUUUGGUAAGGCCCCUCCAGGAGCCCCUACAGAGAGCCUUCAGCUGACGGGUCUGUGCACUGAGCCACUGCACUCCAAGCUGCGAAGCUAAAUACUCGACAUGGCCCGCGUGACUCGAACGCCUCCCUCCCUCUGCUGGUCCACCUGGCACGUCCAGCUGCCUGCUGCUGGCACUGCCAGUAGCGUCCCCCCCCCCCACAGUAAUCCAGUGCAUCAUCUGGGUCACUGGGCCCAGGAAGAGUCCCGUGGGCAUAUCCGGGGCCUGGGACUAAGUAGCGCCAUUAUCACUAGGGUUCUGUGAAACGACCUGGUCUGUAGAUCUGGCUGGAUGAGGGAAGCAGGCGCCAGGUUCUCUUUGCCAGCUUCGGGGGAGGGGGGGGGCAACCGAAUCUCUGCUCUCUUGGCAACAGGCAUUACCAUGUCUUUCUGAAAAGCUCCCCCACCCAGGAAUCCUUGCCAUCAGUGUGUAUCAAAUCUCUUACGACUAUUGAAAGGGUGCAACCAAUCGGCUAUUACGACUAUUGAAAGGGUACAACCAAUCAGCUCUUACAACUACUGAAAGGGUGCAGCCAAUGGUAUUUCAGCAAUAUGUUAGAUCAAAUGUGAAAACAGAAAAAUAUGAGCUUCACUAGUGUAGUACAGUGUAGCUGGCUUAAGGGAAAAUCCCAGCAUUAAGCCAGUGCCCUGCGAUUAUAUACACCAUGUGAACAACUGUGCGCUUUGAAACCUUGUGACUGUUCUGUUUUCAUAAACGUAGACCUUCUGCAAUGAAAAAGGAUAAGGAAGAAGAUGCAUGUGAAAUCAACCUCCAUUCUCAAUGGCAUUUACAUCUGUUAAUAACAUUCAAAAUACAGGAAAACAGCCUCACUCCUAAUUGUAAUACACCUUUCAGAGUGCAGGACCACAGAAAUGAGGCUUGGUGUAUUUUUACCUUAAAUGCAGAUGCACGGAAUAUGAUGGAUGAAGACUCCUCCCUCACCUGCUUUUUGUGAUAUCAGUUCUUUGUCUGUAAUCAUAUUACUGGUGACUUAUUUUAUGCCUUAUAUAUUAUUACAGGCAGUCCUCUGGUUAAGAACGUCUGACUUACGGAGAACUUAUCCGUAUUAUAUAUGCAAAAUUCAGGUUAAAUACAAUGGUUCAGGUUAAAUACAAUAACGAAGGCACGGUAUACUUUAUGAUGCUUGUGAAAUCAUCGCCCGGCUUCAGUAGUCCGUUGGCUCGAGGUUCAGUACUGUAAGUAGUUACCUUAAUUACUACUGUAUAUUAUUAUAAUAAUUAUUAUCAUUAUUAUUGUUAUUAUGUACUGUAUUGUUAUUUUUCCAACUUACCUUCGACUUAAAGACAGACUUAGGGAACGGAUCAAUGGCCGAGCCUCACCCUGGGUGAACCACCUUCGCGAUCAUGGUAUCUCUCCUGCCAGGAGGAUUUCAGCGCUGGACUGGCCUCUCCCUCACCAACCCAUAUUUGAUGCAUUGGCUUCAUCGGGGACCUUCCUUGCAGCGGAUCUCGACACCGAGGCGUUUUACGGAAGCCAGAUGGGAGGUAACCAUAGUCACGCGUCGCCAGGAAGUGUCCGGUGGCAGACGGGAGCCGUUCCUACAGGUCCUGCAUGCACCAUCGACCCGAGGCCACAGCUUCAUUUGUUCUGUUUUUUUUUUUUUUUACUGCUUAUUAUACAAAAAAACUUUUGGAAAGUUUCUCUGCUGCUGUGAACCGCAGCACGUUUUAUUGACCUGGAAUCUUCCGUGUCAUUCUGGCAAACACCGACUCUCCGGUAUCAAAGGCCUUCACAUGAUCACUGAAGCUCCUUAUUCGCGAGUUCCUCUGGAGAUGGACUCAGCUAUAGUCAUGCAUUUUUAAUGCGGAGCGCUGUAUGGGAUACUGUGAAGUUCACUUCUGAGGGCUCCAAUUAGAUACUUUGUUAGCAUUGAUUCUAGUUGGCUGGAAAACAAUAGGCUCAGAUUCCACAGCAUUUACCACACAAAGUAAAAAGUGGUAUUCAGUUUUUAAAUAGAAAUAUACAAAAUAUUUUGGUGUAAAUCAGUGGAAUAGUUAGUGAGUGUUGACGCAAAGCAGAACUUUUUGCGCUAUAAAUGAUUUUGCGAGAGGAAUUCACACAUUACACGUUUCAUUUUGGGGCCAUCUGGAAUAUUCUUCAAAGCCCCAGUAGCCAUAUCCACAAAAAGCAGUUGGAAAAUGGAUGAUGCUGUGUCCUCUUCAUUUAUAAUUAUAGUGUAAAUGCAUCUUAAUAAAAAUGCAAAAAUUUCCCUGGACCCAAAAUAUAUUUGGAUGUACUACAUUUCUUGAAAAGACAGAACUCGUAAUUUGUCAAAUGUUUACUUUUGAAUUUUAUUUUGUAAUUAAGAUCCUCAUCUAUUCCUGUAUGAUUCCAUUCAGGAUAAUGAGGUGAUGCAUUGUAGAGGAGUUGUGAUUGUGGAAGCUUUUCUCCACAUGGUAGAGGGACACAGCAGUCAGAUUUUUCAGAUAAUAAUUUCUAAUUAUAUAGAUUAUGCUUUGUUUUAUUUAUUACAAACAAUUUAGUGUUAAAGACACAUGAAAGGUGUUCCAUUAAGAUCUCUUUCCUGCACUGUUCCUAGCAAACCCAAAUCAUCUUGAAUUAUCUGUGAUUCAUUUAGCGGUACCCACCCAUUUACGGCUGAUGUAUUCAGGCUGAAUUACGCAUAGUUCAAGGGUUCAGGAACUCAUGGAAAUUCUGCGACAAAGCAAAAGUGACGCUGGGAAGAUGCUGGAGCAAAGUAUAACAGAGUGGGAUUGAGAAGGUUUAAGAAGUAGGUGCGCGUUGGACAUGACCAGUGAUGGCUUGUUAUGCUAAUUAGUGGAAGGGCUGUAAUGGAAUGCAUAAAUGUGUGGAUUAUGUAGACAGCAUGAAAAUAUAUGAGUGGGAAAGGGAAGAGGGGGCCACAGGAAGCGGGCUCUAACACACCAUGCAAAUUACACUCUGCCAUCGGGUUAAUUUAAACUUUUCACACACCAUGGACACAUGUGUCAGCGCCGCUGGUGUGGUGGACAGAUGCCAGAGUGAAAAAGCGACGCCUCUCGUGAUGCUCUCUCGGAUGACAAGCGUGACGAUACCAGCCUAGAAUAGAAGCCUGAGAGCUUCACCUCCGUAAGCCUGUCGUCUUUUCUGCUGACUCUAUCGUCCUUGGAUCGUCACGCCGCUUUAUAGGGCCGAUUCCGUUGACGCGUCUCAGUUUCAGCGGUGAAGCAUCUUCUGUCUCCCAUGGAAAGUCUGCCGGGGCAGCGAGUGAGAAUGACCUUUCUCCCGUCUCUGAGGUAUCCGUGACAAGGGCUAAAAGAAGCAGACUUGACAGCAAAAGCACCCACAAACUCUGUUGGCAAAAUAGCCCCUGGAGGAAACUGACUUAUAAAGAGCAUAACGAAACAGUUACAGUGUGCUUCAGUUAAAUAACCUUUAGUGAAUGGUGAACUUAGCUGUCUUAGUUGCAGUGAGGGAUACUUAAGGUGGUUUUUUUUUUGGGUUCUCUCUUGCUGCUCAAAAGCAUUAGUCACUGUGGCUAACUCUGUACUGUACUGUACUGGAGUUUCCUUAGCCAGGCAUGAAAUGCAUUAGCCACGAAAUCACUCUCGCGUAGAAAGUGGGACCGCUUCCACAGAUGCAAAAAGGUCAAAUUUGUGUGGCUGUGACACUACGUAUCGGCACAUCUAUCUAGCAAUGUUACCAUUGGCAGAACGCAUUUUUGUGCGUGUGUUUUUGUCUUCUUCACAUCUCGAGAUUCCUUCCUCGCUCAGCCACAGAUCAAAAGCCUCCUCAAAGCCAAACUUAGGUAGAGCAGAACCUUCUAAUCUGACCAACUCUUUCGGCUCUCAAGCGGCCCUUUUUUAUUUUUCAAUAAAAAAACUCCUUUAUUUUCAUUUAAUAAAUGGCUCUUCACAUAAGCUGGCUUUCGUCGUUCAGAUAUCCACCUAAAAGAGCCGGUUCUUAGAACCAACUAAUUUGCAAAUGCCCCAUCACUAGUUUCGACCCACUUGUCCAAGUGAAGGUUGCGGUGGUACUAGAAUGUUCUCGAGAACCUGGAAAGUAAACAGCAUAUCACUAAAACACAUUUAGUGUAACGCACACUCAAAAAAACUGCUAUGGUCAGGAUUGCGAGUUCACACAUUCACAUUUUAAUCAGGAUGCGGUGAAUGGCUAGCAGUCGUCUAGUUUUGUAGAUAUGCUGAAAGCUGAAUGCUUUACCUGAGCAGGUCAAGUUAAGUGCCUUUCUUUACCAGGCUUUCUCUGAGACUUCAAGCAGAAAAACAUGUGUUACUAGUCCAUGACAUUUAACCACUAUCCUACCUGAUGCUCCAUGCUAGAUGUUUAUACCUCCCAGCCGUGCAUCAAUUAAUCAUCGACCUCCCUGAUUUAAUAAAGAAGUAAUUGUGUGAUUGAAGCUGACACAGCCUGCUAAACUGAAGCUGUGCGGGUUGGUGCUGUUUGAUUGGAUGCCGUUUGGUCUUUCCAAUGCAGCGGCAACCUUUUUUGAUCAUACAAUCAAAUGCAUAUUUAAAUUUCCAUAAUAAAUGAAAUAUACAGUUUUUGUUUCCCUCUAUACAUGAAAUUGUACUUAAAGCAGUUUGUAGCAUUUUUGUGUUAUACAGUUUCCUUACCGUCUGACGGCCAUGACUGAUUCUUUAAAGUGUGUUUUCAAGUACGCUGGCAGAUGGCGAUUGAUGGCAGGUGGCUGUUUGUCGGUCGGGCCAGAGGUGUUGGCUUAAGUGUGGAAUCCACAGAACUCAAAGCAGAAGGUGAGCUUUGCAUGUAAGACCGACUAGAUGGAAAUUCCUGAGCUGUGGAGCGUAACAUACGCAGGGCAGAGCGGCAGAAUGAGGCCCACUGGCUAGUGUGAUGUGAAGCUUUGGGAGUCGCCCAUGUUAUUGAUUUGUUUUGACAUUCUUGAAUUUAGUCAUAUAAAAUUAUGCAAAAAGACCCAAGAACUGGCAGAUGAUUCUGUUUCAUGCUUAUUUUCCCCCCUUAUGAAAUAUGCUUAUUUUUGCAUUUGUUCUCCCACAUUUACAUACUAAAUGAUAUUCAGUGAUUUGAAAUAAUUUAAAGUAAAAAAAAUAUAUAUACCAAAGUACUGGGGGGAUAUAAAGCAGGAUUUCAAGUAAGACCUACAGUAGUAGCUGGUGUAUAAAUAUGAAGCAGUGGAGAAAUUAACUCAGAAAGCCAUGAGUUUGUGAAGGGAAAACAGUUCUUAUUUCUGAUUACUGUCUCAAAUAAAUGGA